AUAUCACCCCUCACAAAUGCCGACAAUCUCCGUCAGAGACCGCCACAAAGCAGCACGUGGCGCUUAGCUGAGUCUCCAACCGCUCAGAACGUGCAUUUUGCCACAUGGCUCAUCCGGCGGCAGUUUCAGUCACAUUUUACCCGAUGGCGCCACCACCGUUUACCGCCUAGAAACAAGCGGACGCUCUAUCCCCACCACGUAGCUAUGAUUCCCCUCGAUAAGGCGGGGCAUAUAACUCAUUGUGUCUAUCAUUAGGCGUGUCAAGAACUAACGGGGAAAGAAAGUGGGAGUUUUGCGGAAGUGGACGUUAGCAAAACGGUUCACUAUUAUCAAGUUGUGGUUGCUGGUCGAAUCGUGGUCUAUUUCACUAGUUUCGUUGGAAUGACGUUACCAAGUCGGUUAUUAUUGACAUUAGUUUUUGGCCAGGUGUGCUUGGUGGUUCGUCGAAAGAACACGCCGCCAACUCUCAACUCUCAAAGUUCUGCCCCCGGCCUGCCGCGCCGCCCCACUCCACACACGCAAGUUGGCGGAACACGCAGGUCCGAACUGCCGCCGCCAACUACGAUGAAUUCGCUCCACCAAGUCGGUUCUCAGUUGCAGCUACAGUUUCGUUCUGACAUGUCUUCAUCGAUCAAGUGGGCAUCAGUUGGUAGCAAGUCCCAUGUGCUCAUCAAGACUGAACUGAAAAACGAAAUCUCACACUGUCGAUUUCCACAUAACGACGGAUUAGUGCGUGUGUUUUUUUUGUGAAUCGAUGGAUCUCAGUGAACGGUUUUUACAUUUUUGUUACUCUGACCAGUUUGUCGCCAAAGUGAUCUCUGGAGCAGCAAAUGCCACUUAUGAAUUUGACGCAAUGUUUCAUCAUAUUGAAAAUAUACGUGGACAAAGCGGACAUUCAUCGAGCACCGUUAACAUGGUAAGCAGGAAUGUUCAUUUUGAGUUUUCGGUAGCGGGGUAUAAAUAAUUACACUGAAUUCAUUGAAAAUUGGAUAUUGAAUAAUAAUUAUAUGGAAAUUCUGAAUAAAAUACUGCCUGGAUAACUACUUAGAAAAUCUGGAUAUUGACAGGCAUAUCGAGAACUAAGCGAAAAUCUCAAAAAAUAUUUAACACAGCUAAAAAGAAUGGAAUUAUCAAAUCGUCUCUAAAUAAAUAAAAAUUAUAAUUUAACAGUUUGCAUGUUCGAUAUAGUUGAAUUAUAUCAAAAACUACCGAAAUGAACAAAUUAUAUUUAAAUCGAGAAAAUACAUUUUCGAAUAACUAUUUGGGGGCAUUCGAUUAACCAGAAUAAGGCAAAGUUUCCCUGAUAGCAAACUAAUAAAACUAGAAGACUGUUAGCAAUAAAUGGCAUUUAAAAAUGGGGCAAUUAAUUCUGUUAUUAAAUUUUGUUGGUCCAAGUUUGGAAAAUAGACGCACUUGCAGGCAUCAUGCGUCUUCCAUUAAGCAAAUCUGUAUUAUCCUUGAUAUAUUAAAGGAGUUGUAUAUAUUUUGAACACUAGCCCAAUAUAAAUAUUUACGGGAACCUAAAGAGCAUUUGCCACUUUAGCUUCUCGGUUCCAAUAACUCUUUAUCGGUUCACAAAGGUUUAAGCAAAUAAGGUACCAUCAAACUGCAUCUGAAAUCUCAAUCGAAAAUCGGGGUUUCGGCUUUAUCUAAAACAUUUCGAUCUACACAGUACCCACAUAGGUAUGGUAAAACUGGUAAAAAUGGAAAAACUGUUCACUUUUGGAUUGAUUAGUUUCACAUUUUAAAGUUCAACUAUUUGAUUGAGUAAACCAUGCUAUUUAGUUGGUUUUUACAAAUUAAAUAGUUUUCAAACAAAUCUUGGACGCUGAAGCAAUUAUAGUUUUGAGGUCAGUUACCAAAUGCCCAACAUAAUAGACAUUAUAGUUGUAUCAAAUCUUCAUUUUUAGCAUUCCAAUUUUGACCUGAAAGCCAUAUAGAUUUCGAAUCGUUACUUAUUAGAAUCAUAAUUUCCUUUAAUGUGUCUGCAUUUCGCUGGUCAUUCAUCAACAUGCUCACGUUCUGCAGCUUAUCACGAAUGUUUUAUAGCACAUUCCUGCACCAUUACCUAACUCACGUUUCAAGCGUCAAACGUUCACAUUAAACCGAACAAACCAUCAUAUGAAAGACUGUUGUUGGAGAUGCAAAUCUACAAUCGCAGUCAGCAUUUUGUCUAGUCAUUGUUGACAAUGCAAGAAAAAAGUCGUAUAAAACAAAUUUACCUAUUUCCAACCGGUUGUCUUUGUGCACACUGAACAAUCAAAGCCAUCAGUGUUCCCUGUAAUGAAGCCUGGCUUUCGUCAAAUCACGAUGACUUGAAUUUCGCCAACGAAAGUGUUACAGGCCGUUACAAUGUUGAAGGAAACCGUUGGUUUGGAACAGUGGAGACUUGGAGCACGCAAAUGUGCAAGAUGAAACCGCUAAUCAAUAGAUAUUGGCUAUGGAUAAGCAAUAGUCAAUAUAAAAAAUGGGUUUGCGGAUAUAUUUGAUUCGUAAUUUGAAUAUCUAGAGCUGAACAGAAAAUUUUCAACCCUUGUCAGCUAUUUGGUAAAUAAACUAUCGAUCCUGCGGUAAUAGAGCUGGAUCAAUUCCUUCACAUGGCCCCGACCUGUAGCCCGCAUACACACAUUUUCUUAACCCUUUUGUGCCGGUUAUUAUGCCAAGGGUAAAUUAAUGCAAGCAAACGCACCCCUUGCAGACCGUAUUCAAAUUUUUCCCAUAGGGCUCCCGGUGCGUCCCUUCUUGUUCAAUACCUUCGUCGAAAUUUUAUCAAUUUUUCAUCGCGGCACAUAAUACCCAAAGCGUGAUAUAUUCGAAAAUUAUGAUAAAAUAACGGGUGUUUUUUAUUCUUAACCAGCCGACCGGGCGGUUAGUUUGGGCAAUAAUCUGCUAUAGAUUCCGACGCUCAUUUUGCAUCAAAAUAUAGAAAGGGUUCGUGAGAAUGCAUAUUUAAUGCCAGUAAAUCAACGACUAGGUAUGCCAUACAUUUUUCGUAGCCAAAUGCGUUACUGUCGAGGCUUCUCCCCUGAAAUACUAGAGAAAAUCAAAUCAAUAGAUGUAAUAAUUUUUCGAUUUUUCCUAAUGAACGGUUGGUUGGUAGCUGCUGGAAAUUACAAUUUGAUUCAAAAUUUAUAAAAUU